UUUGGGAGAAAAUUAGAAAAUCUUAGUAUGCCUGUUAAUGCAUAGUGUUUUGCUGCCAUGGAUGGCAGCAAAAGUCUUAACGUCCCAUGGACGGGACGUUUAAGACGUACACGUCACUCCUGGAAAAUCUAAAUCAGGCAUACUUAGUUUUUCUUAUUUUCGGACAGC
ncrna:Roseburia intestinalis L1-82 TwoGGAY RNA